ACCUGCGGAGGGAUCAUUACAGAGUUAUCCAACUACGAACACCGCUCCCAAACCCAUGUGAACAUAUCUCUUUGUUGCCUCGGCGCAAGCUACCCGGGACCUCGCGCCCCGGGCGGCCCGCCGGCGGACAAACCAAACUCUGUUAUCUUCGUUGAUUAUCUGAGUGUCUUAUUUAAUAAGUCAAAACUUUCAACAACGGAUCUCUUGGUUCUGGCAUCGAUGAAGAACGCAGCGAAAUGCGAUAAGUAAUGUGAAUUGCAGAAUUCAGUGAAUCAUCGAAUCUUUGAACGCACAUUGCGCCCAUUAGUAUUCUAGUGGGCAUGCCUGUUCGAGCGUCAUUUCAACCCCUAAGCACAGCUUAUUGUUGGGCGUCUACGUCUGUAGUGCCUCAAAGACAUUGGCGGAGCGGCAGCAGUCCUCUGAGCGUAGUAAUUCUUUAUCUCGCUUCUGUUAGGCGCUGCCCCCCCGGCCGUAAAACCCCCAAUUUUUUCUGGUUGACCUCGGAUCAGGUAG
rnacentral:rRNA from 1 species